rnacentral:rRNA from 1 species
UACGUAGGGUGCAAGCGUUGUCCGGAAUUAUUGGGCGUAAAGCGCGUGUAGGCGGCCCGGUAAGUCCGCUGUGAAAGUCGGGGGCUCAACCCUCGAAUGCCGGUGGAUACUGUCGGGCUAGAGUGCGGAAGAGGCGAGUGGAAUUCCUGGUGUAGCGGUGAAAUGCGCAGAUAUCAGGAGGAACACCAAUUGCGAAGGCAGCUCGCUGGGACGUGACUGACGCUGAGACGCGAAAGCGUGGGGAGCAAACAGG